CACGUAGUUAGCCGGAGCUUUCUUGCAGGGUACCGUCAUUUUCGUCCCCUGCGACAGAACUUUACAACCCGAAGGCCGUCUUCAUUCACGCGGCAUCGCUGCAUCAGGGUUUCCCCCAUUGUGCAAUAUCCCCCACUGCUGCCUCCCGUAGGAGUCUGGGCCGUGUCUCAGUCCCAAUGUGGCCGUCCAACCUCUCAGUCCGGCUACCGAUUGUCGGUUUGGUGGGCCGUUACCCCGCCAACUGCCUAAUCGGACGCGAGCCCAUCUUUCAGCGGAUUGCUCCUUUGAUAUCAGUGCCAUGCGACUCCGAUAUUUUAUGCGGUAUUAGCGUUCGUUUCCAAACGUUAUCCCCCUCUGAAAGGCAGGUUGCUCACGUGUUACUCACCCGUCCGCCACUAAGUUCAGAUGCGAGCAUCUUCACUCCGUUCGACUUGCAUGUGUUAGGCGUGCCGCCAGCGUUCGUCCUGAGCCAGGAUCAAACUCU
rnacentral:rRNA from 1 species